rnacentral:rRNA from 1 species
CCUACGGGGGGCAGCAGUGGGGAAUAUUGCACAAUGGGGGAAACCCUGAUGCAGCGACGCCGCGUGAGUGAAGAAGUAAUUCGUUUUGUAAAGCGCUAUCAGCAGGGAAGAAAAUGACGGUACCUGAGUAAGUAGCCCCGGCUAACUACGUGCCAGCAGCCGCGGUAAUACGUAGGGGGCAAGCGUUAUCCGGAUUUACUGGGUGUAAAGGGAGCGUAGACGGCAGUGCAAGUCUGGAGUGAAAGGCCGGGGCUCAACCCCCGGACUGCACUGGAAACUGUACGGCUGGAGUGCAGGAGAGGUAAGUGGAAUUCCUAGUGUAGCGGUGAAAUGCGUAGAUAUUAGGAGGAACACCAGUGGCGAAGGCGACUUACUGGACUGUAACUGACGUUGAGGCUCGAAAGCGUGGGGAGCAAACAGGAUUAGAUACCCGUGUAGUC